UGAGCAACCUACCGAAAUGAGGGGGGUAGCCGGCCCAACGGCCGGGUAAUACCGCAUACGCUCGAGACCAGGCAUUUGGACUCGAGGAAACCUCCGGGGCAUUUCGAGGGGCUCGCGGCCUAUCAGCUAGUUGGUGAGGUAAUGGCUCACCAAGGCGACGACGGGUAGCCGGCCUGAGAGGGUGACCGGCCACACUGGGACUGAGACACGGCCCAGACUCCUACGGGAGGCAG
rnacentral:rRNA from 1 species